ACUACACCCUUUCUCCUAUCAGCAGCUAAGUAGCACAGAAACUUUUCCUGUUGUUCACAUGAGCUAUACAAAAUAACUUAGACACCAAUAAGAGGCCACAAAUUUUUCUGCUAAAACGUUUGUUUGACAUCACUUACUUCUUCUUCCAGAAAUCAUGAUUCUGUGUGAGGUUGUGUGCCAGGUGAAUCAAGAUGAAUGGGGUACACAGGGUAAACUGUGUGUCAACAUGUGAGGGUCACCUAUACCUACUUUGUAUUUAAAGGAAAGAAACAGGCACAUCUGGAGUGUCUGCUCCAAGAGAGGAGGAACUGCACCAACAGGUGGUCAGAUACUUGUGGUCAGAUACUUGCAAUGGAAGUGAACUCAGAUGAGAUGUACUUCAACAGAAAGUAUAUACAGUACUGGAUCUCAGGAGCAUGUAUAAAGGUAAGGAUCAUAGCUCAUGGUGGAAGGGACUUCAAGAAGUCGUCCAGUUCAAUCUCUUGUUUAAAUCAGGAUGCUGACGCUGACAUUAAAUACAAUGCCUUAUCCAGAUUACUUAGUAGAGUCACAGGCGGAUGUUGGUGGUCUGGCAGUAGAGGCUGAACCUUCCCACAAGUAUUUCA